rfam:Acidovorax sp. CF316 PMI14_contig_160.160, whole genome shotgun sequence.
CAGUUUUGGUUUCUGCGCUCCGUUAAAGCCAGUUACCACGGUUCAGAAACUUGCCGGUUUACUGAACCUUCGAAAAACCACCUUGCCGGGUGGUUUUUUCGU